rnacentral:lncRNA from 1 species
CAAACUUUUGACUGGUACUGUAUUCAUCACAAAAAUAAAAUUUUUUUGUUGAUGCUGCCUAAUUAUUUGCCUUAUUUUACUCUACUUGUAUUUCUGGAGUAGUUCUUACCAAAACCCUUUUCCUAUUUCAGUGCAGGCGACGCAAGCCGAUGUUUAUGCCGGCCUGACAACAUUUGACAUGGCAGAUAUCUAUGGACCAGCAGAGGAGAUUUUUGGACACUUCAACAGGUGAAAUUGAAACCCAGCGGUGUAACCCUUCAUGGUUUGACUAAAUGGGUGCCUCGACCUGGACCAAUGGACCGCAAGCCGGUGGUCUACUCUCAGAGCGCUAUCUAGGGAAGGCAGAGCCUACAAGCAGGGCAGAGCUCAACACCGCCUCCCUCAGUAAGUACAAGAACGUGAUUGACAGCUGUGGAGGAUGGGGGCUGUUCCAGGAGCUGCUGGUUGCCUUGGAGACGGUCGCCAGGGGCCACGGCUGCUCCAUCGCCAACGUGGCUACCCACUACGUCCUGGACCGGCCUGCUGUGGGUGGAGUCAUCGUGGGCUGUCAUCUCGGUGUUGCCGGGGCAGAACACAGAGGACAGCCUCCACGGCUGCAGCCCAGAAUUGGAACUCACGGCGCAAGACCUGCGCACCAUCGAUGGAGUGGUGCAGCGCUCGCGUGA